ACUAUGCUUUGAAGCAAACGUACUGUAAAGUCAAGUGACUUCUGUUGUUUGGAAAAAAGGUUGCCUUUGUUGUAACUAGUUUUUCGUUAAAAUAAUUAAAAUUUAAAUUUAAACAUACUGAAUCCUUAUCCUUUCUCUCGAUUCACUCACUAUUUUCCCCAAAUCUUCACUUGUCAUCUUCCCCCAUCUCGCCUGUGCACAGAAUCCCCAUCCCUCGAUCUCGCUGUGGAUAGAGGGGUUUGUGGUUGUGUCUUCGUCCUUGGCUUGAUUUAGGCACUCUUGAGAGGCUUGCUUGAUGUCAACAUCUGGGAUUUCGUUCUGUUAAAGAGGUUUAUUGAUACCAAUAACAAACAAUGAGUUGAACUAAGAAAAUUGCAUGCAGAAAUGGAUUUUGUAUUACGGUACACAAAUUAAAGCUUACAAAUUUAUGGGUUUUUGUAUUAAUUAAGAAUUAAUUUAGGUUUAAUUUAUGAUUAAUUUCUUUCAUUCAGUUACUUGUGCUUGUGCUGUUGGCAUUCUAUUUGCUGGAAUCUACAUUCUGGUUGGAUUCAUCUCAUAUUGAAGCAUACUUUUUAAUUAUUAUAACAAUGUCAAUUUACAUGUCUUGCAGGGAUUUUAUUGGAAGCAGCCACAAAAUAACUUUAUACUCCUUUUUUGUCAUUAGAUUUUCUUUACUCCUCUAAUCACUUCUGAUACUGUGUUCUGAUAACCUUUUUUGGUUUUCAUCUUUGGCUACUUAGGUUAAUUAAAAUUGGAACUGGAAAUUAAUUAAUUAAAUUAAAAACACUAGUGCAAAUCAAUUCUAUUUUCAUCAUUGCAUAUCCAUUUUCUUUGCAUCUGUUGUGAAGUAUUGUGAAAUAUUAAGGUCUCAAUUUGAGCUACUAUAUUAGUUUUUGACAUUGUGGUUAUAUUUGAAUUAUGACCUUUCCUGUUGCUCAAGUUUCAGUCCUUUCUAGCUUAUCUCAUGCAUGUUUGUAUUUUUAAUUGGAUUUGUCCUCCUUAGCUUAUUUCACAUGAAUAUUUGUAAUUUUUAGCAUCUAUUGUAGGACCAUGGUAGAACUAAAUGUUUGAAUUCUAGACCUCUUUGAACAGGUAAACUUCUCUCUGGAGUCAGCAAAAUUGGCCCAAAUACUCAGCUUAUGGAGUUUAUGAUGCUUUAGCUGGUAUUGGAGAGAUUGACCAGUAGAGUCCAGACAGAGAUUCUGAGCAGAUCUGCACUAAUGUGGGAGUCACCUCAGCAGAGUAUUUUUUGUAGGAUCCAUGUGUAUUUAGAUUUUGUAUUUUUUAUUUCUGUACAUAAGUCAAAGAUGUAAUUCAUUUUGAGACUGUAAUAUAAAUUGUAAAUUAUUGUAUAUGAAUUCUAUUAAUAAAAGUAAAUGUGUUUUACAUGAA